rnacentral:rRNA from 1 species
UACGUAGGGACCAAGCGUUGUUCGGAUUUACUGGGCGUAAAGGGCGCGUAGGCGGCGUGGUAAGUCACUUGUGAAAUCUCUGAGCUUAACUCAGAACGGCCAAGUGAUACUGCUGUGCUAGAGUGCAGAAGGGGCAAUCGGAAUUCUUGGUGUAGCGGUGAAAUGCGCAGAUAUCAAGAGGAACACCUGAGGUGAAGACGGGUUGCUGGGCUGACACUGACGCUGAGGCGCGAAAGCCAGGGGAGCAAACGGG